rnacentral:rRNA from 1 species
GAUGAACGCUAGCGGGAGGCUUAACACAUGCAAGUCGAGGGGCAGCAUAGGGUAGCAAUACUCUGAUGGCGACCGGCAAACGGGUGAGUAACGCGUAUGCAACCUACCCUGUACAGGGGGAUAACCCGGAGAAAUUCGGACUAAUAUCCCGUAAUAAUAUCCGGAGGCAUCUUUGGAUAUUUAAAGUUCCGACGGUACGGGAUGGGCAUGCGUAACAUUAACUGGUUGGUAAGGUAACGGCUUACCAAGGCUAUGAUGUUUAGGGGUCCUGAGAGGGUGGUCCCCCACACUGGUACUGAGACACGGACCAGACUCCUACGGGAGGCAGCAGUGAGGAAUAUUGGUCAAUGGGCGCAAGCCUGAACCAGCCAUCCCGCGUGCAGGAAGACGGCCUAUGGGUUGUAAACUGCUUUUCCAGGGAGAGAAACUUACGCACGUGUUGCGUGACUGACGGUACCCUGGGAAUAAGCAUCGGCUAACUCCGUG